GCCCGGCGGUGGUGGCGCACGCCUUUAAUCCCAGCACUCGGGAGGCAGAGGCAGGCGGAUCUCUGUGAGUUCGAGACCAGCCUGGUCUACAGAGCUAGUUCCAGGACAGGCUCCAAAGCCACAGGGAAACCCUGUCUCAAAAAAAACCAAAAAAAAAAAAAAAAAAAGACAGGGUUUCUUUGUAGUUUUGGGGCCCGUCCUAGAACUUGCUCUGUAGACCAGGCUGGCCUUGAACUCACAGAGAUCCGCCUGUCUCU
rnacentral:sRNA from 1 species